UAUGUAGGGGGCGAGCGUUGUCCGGAUUUACUGGGCGUAAAGAGCUCGUAGGCGGCUUGGUAAGUCGAGUGUGAAAACUCUGGGCUCAACUCAGAGACGCCACUCGAUACUGCCAUGGCUUGAGUCCGGUAGGGGAGUGUGGAAUUCCCGGUGUAGCGGUGAAAUGCGCAGAUAUCGGGAGGAACACCAGUAGCGAAGGCGGCACUCUGGGCCGGAACUGACGCUGAGGAGCGAAAGCGUGGGGAGCGAACAGG
rnacentral:rRNA from 1 species